AAUCCAAAUGAAGAUUUUGGAUUUAAUCUCACGACGGUCGUCUGAGAAUCACGCCUUUUCGUAGGGUUUGAUUAAUUGAUGUAGUGAUCCAAUAGUUCUGAUGGUU